UGAGGAAUAUUGGUCAAUGGGCGAGAGCCUGAACCAGCCAAGUCGCGUGAAGGAAGACAGUCCUAAGGAUUGUAAACUUCUUUUAUACGGGAAUAACGGGCGAUACGAGUAUUGCAUUGAAUGUACCGUAAGAAUAAGCAUCGGCUAACUCCGUGCCAGCAGCCGCGGUAAUACGGAGGAUGCGAGCGUUAUCCGGAUUUAUUGGGUUUAAAGGGUGCGUAGGUUGUUCGGUAAGUCAGCGGUGAAACCUGAGCGCUCAACGUUCAGCCUGCCGUUGAAACUGCCGGGCAUGAGUUCAGUGGCGGCAGGCGGAAUUCGUGGUGUAGCGGUGAAAUGCAUAGAUAUCACGAGGAACUCCGAUUGCGAAGGCAGCUUGCCAUACUGCGACUGACACUGAAGCACGAAGGCGUGGGUAUCAAACAGG
rnacentral:rRNA from 1 species